rnacentral:rRNA from 1 species
GACGAACGCUGGCGGCGUGCUUAACACAUGCAAGUCGAACGGAAAGGCCCUGCUUUUGUGGGGUGCUCGAGUGGCGAACGGGUGAGUAACACGUGAGUAACCUGCCCUUGACUUUGGGAUAACUUCAGGAAACUGGGGCUAAUACCGGAUAGGAGCUCCUGCUGCAUGGUGGGGGUUGGAAAGUUUCGGCGGUUGGGGAUGGACUCGCGGCUUAUCAGCUUGUUGGGGGGGUAGUGGCUUACCAAGGCUUUGAUGGGUAGCCGGCCUGAGAGGGGGACCGGCCACAUUGGGACUGAGGGACGGCCCAGACUCCUACGGGAGGCAGCAGUGGGGAAUAUUGCACAAUGGGCGGAAGCCUGAUGCAGCAACGCCGCGUGCGGGAUGACGGCCUUCGGGUUGUAAACCGCUUUCGCCUGUGACGAAGCGUGAGUGACGGUAAUGGGUGAAGAAGCACCGGCUAACUACGUG